AAGAAAGCUCCUUCUAAGAAUACUGAUCAAAGGUUCUUGGAGCCUCUGACUGAGUGCUGAAGAAAAAUUUAUAACAAUUGGUCUUAAAUACCAGCUAAAGAGACCUAUAAGUAUCUUUGUUAAGAAGAUGAGUAUUAAUCACAAAACUUCAAGAAGAUUAGAGGACUAAAUUUCAGCAACAGAUGGAGAACUAAAAAUGAAUAUCACACAGAGGGCAACAAAGAUGCUCAUGGCAAUUGUGAGUAGGAAGCAGCAUAUGCCCAGUAAGGAACUUCAAGGAAGAACAGGAAUAAUAGAGAACCAGACUCUUUGACUGAGGAGGAAGAAAGGAGAGUGUUUUGCAAUUCAUGGAACAAGGAGGAAUGUGAAAAAAUUGUCACAUACUAAAGCAACAAAUGGAAAACCUGGAAAUUAUAACACAUGGGAAAGUUGUCUCUUUGUUAAUGGAAAUUAACUGGCUUUCAAACAAGAGUCCAU